rnacentral:rRNA from 1 species
GGUGAACCUGCGGAAGGAUCAUUACAAAAAGGCCCAAAUAGCAUGCUUGUGCUCAUCAACUGCUAUUUGAACCUUUAUUCUACCUUGAUUUUUUGCGUACUCCUGUUUCCUUGGUGGGCUUGCCUGCCAGCUGGACAAAUCUAUAACCCUUUUAAUGUUUAAUCAGCGUCUGAGUAAAUUUAAUAAUUACAACUUUCAACAACGGAUCUCUUGGUUCUGGCAUCGAUGAAGAACGCAGCGAAAUGCGAUAAGUAGUGUGAAUUGCAGAAUUCAGUGAAUCAUCGAAUCUUUGAACGCACAUUGCGCCCCUUGGUAUUCCAUGGGGCAUGCCUGUUCGAGCGUCAUUUGUACUCUCAAGCUAUGCUUGGUGUUGGGCACUUGUCUCAGUUAAGCCUGCAGACAUGCCUUAAAUAUAUUGGCAGCCAGUAUUUUGGUUUGAAAUGUGCAGCACAGCGCCUCAAGCUAUUUAAUACAGGCAACCAUGAAGAAUUAUCACUCUUUUGACCUCGGAUCAGGUAGGGAUACCCGCUGAACUUAAGCAUAUCAAUAAGCGGAGGAAAAGAAACC